rnacentral:snRNA from 1 species
ACUCAUACCUCAGAGGGGAAACACCAUGUUGUAAAGUGUUUUUCUCAGGGGGAGGCUUAUCCAUUGCCAUUUGGGCAUGCUGCUGAUCCCUAUGAUUUCCCCAAAUGUGGGGAACUUAACUACAUAAUUUGUGUUAAUGGAGGAUUGCCCUUGU